GGCACUCUAGAGAGACUGCCAGGGAUAACCUGGAGGAAGGUGGGGAUGACGUCAAAUCAUCAUGCCCCUUAUGCUUAGGGCUACACACGUGCUACAAUGGGUAGUACAGAGGGUUGCCAAACCGUAAGGUGGAGCUAAUCCCUUAAAGCUACUCUCAGUUCGGAUUGUAGGCUGAAACUCGCCUACAUGAAGCUGGAGUUACUAGUAAUCGCAGAUCAGAAUGCUGCGGUGAAUGCGUUCCCGGGUCUUGUACACACCGCCCGUCACACCACGGGAGUUGGAGACGCCCGAAGCCGAUUAUCUAACCUUUUGGAAGAAGUCGUCGAAGGUGGAAUCAAUAACUGGGGUGAAGUCGUAACAAGGUAGCCGUAUCGGAAGGUGCGGCUGGAUCACCUCCUUU
rnacentral:rRNA from 1 species